GGAUGGUAUGGGUGAUGAUGUCAAUGUAAGGUGUAUGGGUACAUAUCAGGAUUUUGGGCAUCUACACUCAAUAUAACUAAUUAUAAUUAGUUAUAUUGAGUGUAGAUGCCCAAAAUCCUGAUAUGUACCCAUACACCUUACAUUGACAUCAUCACCCAUA